UCUUUCUGCAUUAGGCCUUUAUUUUGUAUUGAAUCUUAUGUGAUUGAUUGAUUUUUUAUUGUUGAACUGGAGAAUGUUUCACUCAUAAGGAGACGUCAUUACUGCCCGUGAAGGACUUCAAAAUUUAGGCCUAUGCUCGGCGCUUACGGCCUUUGAGCAGGGAGGGAUCUCUAUCGUGCCACACCUGCUGUGACACGGGACCUCGGUUUUUGCGAUCUCAACCGAAAGACCGCCCCAUUUAGUCGCCUCUUACGACAAGCAAGGGGAAGUGCACUAUCAAACUUCCGUUAUAUAAGCCGUCUCCUGCAAAGAACGAUAACUCGUGCGUAGGGGCAAUAACCUUUACCGUAUUUCCGGUUGCAAGAACGUCGAGCCCUACUUUCUUCGCUAUAGCCGCGCGCUAUUCUCUCGAGCCCUCUACAGACAAGAAAAUGUCGUGUGAGUCGUAGUCUACAUGCUGUACAAAUUUCAGGAGGAUGAAUGUUCACAGAGUCACUGUCAAUGUCAAUAUAAUAAAGGGAGGUGAUUGCAGCUUUGAAGUUUUCUUUGGGAUGAGACUUGGAAUUAAUGGGAAUUUUCACUCCACAGAGCCUACACAUACACUUUAACUUUAAUUCAUGCUCCAUUUCUGUAGAAAAAAUAAAGUUUUGAAUAGAU